rnacentral:rRNA from 1 species
AGCUUGUUGAAUUUUUAUCAAGUAUUUUCUGCCCGGUGAUUUUUUAACGGCCGCGGUAUUUUGACCGUGCAAAGGUAGCAUAAUCAUUUGUUUCUUAAUUGGGGACUGGAAUGAAUGGAUUCACGUGAAAAUAUUUGUCUCAUUGCUUUUAUUUGAAAUUUCUUUAUAUGUGAAGAAGCAUAUAUAAGAUUAAGGGACGAGAAGACCCUAUUGAGUUUUAUUCUUAUUUACAAUUCUUUUAUUUUUUUUAUUGUCUUAAUUGAAUUUAGUUGGGGCAACUUAAGAGGAUAAAAUUCUCUUUUUUAUAUUUUGAUCCAAUAUUAUUGAAUCAAGACUAAAUUACCAUAGGGAUAACAGCGUUAUUUUUCUAGAGAGUUCUUAUCGAUAGAUUAGAUUGCGACCUCGAUGUUGGACUAAAAUUUCCUAAAUGUGUAGCAGCUUUUAACGGUAGGUCUGUUCGACCUUUAAUAUUUU